UAUAAACUAAAAAAGAUAAAGUCAUUUUUUAUUUGAUACGUUUAUAGGAAAAAAUAUGGCUGAUAUUAUCAAGUUUGUUUAUGUUAUAAUUAUCGUACUCUUUAUAUUUUUCAGUGGAAAGAACAUUGACGCAAAGAAUAUAUGCAUUGAUGAUGUUCAUUGUCAAAAAUAUAAGUGCUCGCCUGGUUUAUAUCCAACGUGUAUAAAUGGCUGGUGUGAAUGCAAGUGAUUAAAUUAUAACAUAGUUUCUAUGAAUACCAAACAUAAGUUCUAUACAUAACAAUUAGAGAGAACAUUUUAGAGCUUUGUUACAGCAAAGUCACGUAAAUAAGUUUAAGCAAUUGGUUUGAUCACUAACAAUAUGGUGUAGUUAAAAUAUUAGAAACAAUAUUAUAUUUCAAGGUGGGGUGGAUAAUGUGGGAAAAUUGGUAGAACAAAUUAAAAAUAUUGAUUGGCUAUGGUUCUUGGACAAGCUGCAAGUGUUUUGAUCAAACCCGUGCUUUGCACGGGUUAUAUACCUAGUAUGACGUCAUUGAUUUGAUCUGCACUAGAUCGAAGCUGAUCUAACAUGUCUCCGGAUCUGCAACGUUGACGACUCCAAAGUCAUUGAUUUGAUCUGCACUGGAUCAAAGCUGAUCUGACAAUCUGAAUCAACAAAUACCUGAACGAAACAAGAAAGACAAACGUCGCA